GACGAAGGGGGCUAGCGUUGUUCGGAAUUACUGGGCGUAAAGCGUGUGUAGGCGGUUGUCGUAGUCAGGUGUGAAAGCCUUGAGCUCAACUCAAGAAAUGCACUUGAUACUGGGCAGCUAGAGGACCGGAGAGGAUAGUGGAAUUCCCAGUGUAGUGGUGAAAUUCGUAGAUAUUGGGAAGAAUACCAGUGGCGAAGGCGGCUAUCUGGACGUUUUCUGACGCUAAGACACGAAAGCGUGGGGAGCAAACAGG
rnacentral:rRNA from 1 species